AUUGAACGCUGGCGGCAGGCCUAACACAUGCAAGUCGAGCGGUAGCACAGGGAGCUUGCUCCUGGGUGACGAGCGGCGGACGGGUGAGUAAUGUCUGGGAAACUGCCUGAUGGAGGGGGAUAACUACUGGAAACGGUAGCUAAUACCGCAAAACGUCGCAAGACCAAAGAGGGGGACCUUCGGGCCUCUUGCCAUCAGAUGUGCCCAGAUGGGAUUAGCUAGUAGGUGGGGUAAUGGCUCACCUAGGCGACGAUCCCUAGCUGGUCUGAGAGGAUGACCAGCCACACUGGAACUGAGCCACGGUCCAGACUCCUACGGGAGGCAGCAGUGGGGAAUAUUGCACAAUGGGCGCAAGCCUGAUGCAGCCAUGCCGCGUGUAUGAAGAAGGCCUUCGGGUUGUAAAGUACUUUCAGCGGGGAGGAAGGUGUUGAGGUUAAUAACCUCAGCAAUUGACGUUACCCGCAGAAGAAGCACCGGCUAACUCCGUGCCAGCCGCCGCGGUAA
rnacentral:rRNA from 1 species